rnacentral:rRNA from 1 species
GGGGAAUAUUGGACAAUGGGCGAAAGCCUGAUCCAGCAAUGCCGCGUGAGUGAUGAAGGCCCUCGGGUCGUACAGCUCUUUUACCAGGGAUGAUAAUGACAGUACCUGGAGAAUAAGCUCCGGCUAACUCCGUGCCAGCAGCCGCGGUAAUACGGAGGGAGCUAGCGUUGUUCGGAAUUACUGGGCGUAAAGCGCGCGUAGGCGGUUACUCAAGUCAGAGGUGAAAGCCCGGGGCUCAACCCCGGAACUGCCUUUGAAACUAGGUGACUAGAAUCUUGGAGAGGUCAGUGGAAUUCCGAGUGUAGAGGUGAAAUUCGUAGAUAUUUGGAAGAACACCAGUGGCGAAGGCGACUGACUGGACAAGUAUUGACGCUGAGGUGCGAAAGCGUGGGGAGCAAAC